rnacentral:rRNA from 1 species
AGUCAAGAAAGAAAGGGCACAAGGUGGAUGCCUUGGCACAUGAAGGCGAAAAAGGACGUAAGUGAACGAAAACUAGGGUAAGCUCACAAAAAGCACUGACCCCUAGGUCUCCGAAUGGGGCAACCCGGUUGUGGAAGACACAAUCAUUACUAAGUGAAUACAUAGCUUAGUAAGGCGACACCCUGCGAACUGAAACAUCUAAGUAGCAGGAGGAAAAGAAAGAAAAUUCGAUUUUCUAAGUAGCGGCGAGCGAAAGGAAAAGAGCCUAACUCAUUAGUGAUUUGGUAAUGUUAGUCAAAUUAUCUGAAAAGAUAAACCAAAGAAAGUGAAAGUCUUGUAGACGAAAGCAUUACUAAACGAGAGGGAAAGUAUCACCGGGCACGAGUAACCCGGUGUGAAGAUAGGGGGCCCAUCCCCUAAGGCUAAAUACUAACAUGUGACCGAUAGUGAACAAGUACCGUGAGGGAAAGGUGAAAAGAACCCCGAAAGGGGAGUGAAAUAGAACCUGAAACCUAGUGCCUACAAGCAGACAGAGCGUGAACGAACGUGAUGUCGUACCUUUUGUAGAAUGGGCCAGCGAGUUAUUCUAAAUUGCGAGGUUAAUGAUUUAAGAUCAGAAGCCGUAGCGAAAGCGAGUCUUAAUAGGGCGAAAGUAAGUUAGAAUAGACCCGAAACCGGGUGAUCUAUCCAUGGUCAGAGUGAAGUUGAAGUAAAAUUCAAUGGAGGCUCGAACCGGGUGCGGUUUAAAACGCAUCGGAUGAACUGUGGAUAGGGGCGAAAAACCAAACGAACCCGGAGAUAGCUGGUUCUCCUCGAAAUAGCUUUAGGGCUAGCCUCUGACCUAAGAUUUUAGGGGGUAGAGCACUGAAUGGUCUAGGGCGGGUUACCGUACCAAAACCUAUCAAACUCCGAAUACCAAAAAAUCAAGUCAGGGAGUCAGACUUAGGGGGAUAAGCUUCUAAGUCGAAAGGGAAACAGCCCAGACCGACAGCUAAGGUCCCAAAAUUUGAAUUAAGUGGAAAAGGAUGUGAAUCUACUAAGACAACCAGGACGUUGGCUUAGAAGCAGCCAUGCAUUUAAAGAAUGCGUAAUAGCUCACUGGUCAAGUGGGUUUGCGCCGAAAAUGAACGGGGCUAAAUUCAAUACCGAAGCUUCGGAUUAAUAGAGGGAUUAAGUUUACAAAUGAGACUAGGAAAUAUUUAACAAAAAACAAUAACAGAAGAGAUUAAAAAAGAAAUACAAAUUUCAGACGCAGACAUAAAAGAUAGGAUAUUAAAGAUAAGAAAAAAUAUUCAAAAAACACAAGUCUAAAGUCAAAGUAGGUAUCAUAAGAAAUUAUGAACUAACAAUCACUGGUUAAGAGUUAAAAAAAACUAGGACUCAUAGCUAAACUUAAUACCUCUAUUAGUGGUAGAGGAGCAUUGUAUUAGAGACGAAGCCAAGGCGAAAGCAAAAGUGGAUUUAAUACAAGAGAGAAUGCUGGCAUGAGUAGCGAGAAGGAGUGUGAGAAUCACUCCCGUCGAAACCCUAAGGACUCCUGAGCAAGGCUCGUCCCCUCAGGGAAAGUCGGGACCUAAGCCAAGGCCGAAAGGCGUAGGCGAUGGAUAACAGGUUUAUAUUCCUGUACCGCUUGAAGUCGUUAAGAGAGAUGUGAUGACGCAAAAGGAUAAUCAAAGCCAUCCGAUGGAUGAUGGUCUAAAGCCGUAGGAAGAAAAGUAGGCAAAUCCGCUUUUCACAAAUUCUGAAAGCCGAUAGGUAUCGAAAACAUAAGUAGAGAAGUUGAUGACUCCAUGUUGCCAAGAAAAGUCACUAUCCAGACCAAAGCGCCCGUACCAAAACCGACACAGGUAGGGAGGUAGAGAAUACCAAGACGCGCGGAAGAACCUUUGUUAAGGAACUCGGCAAAAUGUCCCCGUAACUUCGGGAGAAGGGGAGCCUGAGCGAUCAGGCCACAGAAACCAGGCCCAAGCGACUGUUUACCAAAAACACAAGUUUCUGCAAAAUCGCAAGAUGAAGUAUAGGAGCUGACACCUGCCCGGUGCUGGAAGGUUAAGGGGAAGGCUUAGAGCAAUCGAAGGCUAGAACUUAAGCCCCAGUAAACGGCGGCCGUAACUAUAACGGUCCUAAGGUAGCGAAAUUCCUUGUCGGGUAAGUUCCGACCCGCACGAAAGGUGUAACGA